UGAAUUUUAUGUCUAGGGUUUUAGGCCUUAAGUUUUGAAAGCUUAAGUUUUAGGAGUUCAACUCUCCUUGGAAUUCAA
rnacentral:tRNA from 1 species